rnacentral:rRNA from 1 species
UGGGGAAUAUUGCGCAAUGGGCGCAAGCCUGAUGCAGCGACGCCGCGUGAGGGAUGACGGCCUUCGGGUUGUAAACCUCUUUCGCUAGGGACGAAGCGUAAGUGACGGUACCUGGAGAAGAAGCACCGGCCAACUACGUGCCAGCAGCCGCGGUAAUACGUAGGGUGCGAGCGUUGUCCGGAAUUACUGGGCGUAAAGAGCUCGUAGGCGGUUUGUCGCGUCGUCUGUGAAAUUCUGCAACUCAAUUGCAGGCGUGCAGGCGAUACGGGCAGACUUGAGUACUACAGGGGAGACUGGAAUUCCUGGUGUAGCGGUGAAAUGCGCAGAUAUCAGGAGGAACACCGGUGGCGAAGGCGGGUCUCUGGGUAGUAACUGACGCUGAGGAGCGAAAGCGUGGGGAGCGAACAG